GAAUUUAAGCAUAUAAUUAAGCGGAGGAAAAGAAACUAACUAGGAUUCCCUCAGUAACGGCGAGUGAAGCGGGACUAGCUCAGGAUGUGAAUCUGCGCUUUUAUGGCGCCGAAUUGUGGUCUGUAGACCUUGACGUUAUUUGCCGGGCCAAGUUCCUUGGAAAAGGACAGCUGAGAGGGUGAGACUCCCGUCCGCCUGGUAGAGUGAGUCAUGUGUCAACGAGUCGAGUUGUUUGGGAUUGCAGCUCUAAUUUGGUGGUAAAUUCCAUCUAAAGCUAAAUAUUGGUGGGAGACCGAUAGCGUACAAGUACCGUGAGGGAAAGAUGCAAAGAACUUUGAAAAGAGAGUUAAAGAGUACCUGAAAUUGCUGAAACGGAAGCGAAGGAAACCAGUGUUUGUUGGUUCAUAUUUCCUUAACCACUUGUGGUUUGGGCGCUGUGAGCUUGCGUGAGUUUGGGUUGGUUGAUUCCUUUGGAAGAGCGCAGACAGAGUUGAUGUUUGUUGCUAGCACUGGGAUUGACUGAUGCAGACGAAAUGGUUUUCUUUACCCCGUCUUGAAACACGGACCAAGGAGUCUAACAUAUGUGCGAGUACAGGGGUGUCAAACCCCGGUGCGUAAUGAAAGUGACAGUGGUUGGAUUUUUUUGCACAAUCCGCCGGCCUCAAUCCUUCGGGAGAACGGUCUGAGUGUGAGCAUACAUGUUGGGACCCGAAAGAUGGUGAACUAUGCCUGAAUAGGGUGAAGCCAGGGGAAACUCUGGUGGAGGCUCGUAGCGAUUCUGACGUGCAAAUCGAUCGUCAAAUUUGGG
rnacentral:rRNA from 2 species